CCGAACUUCUCUGUAAGCAUCUUUUGGCGCAGAGAGAGAGACAGAGAGAGAGAGAGAUGGAGGAAGAAGACGUGCGAAGAGAAGCGGCGAUAGCUUCAGCCCCCCUCUGCAACCCAAUUUCAAGUCCCCCGGGGUCACCAAGGACCAGCUCUCGAAAUUCCAAGAGCUGCAUAAGAAGCGCAUGCAAAUAAAGAAAAAGUCAGAGCAAAAGAGAUGCAAAGAUGAGACCAGGAAAUUCAUAAAAAAGCCAAAUAGCAAAAAUAGGAUUGACAAAGAAACAUCAGUUGAAGAUUCCAGUUUGUCAAACUCUGGUCUCGAUAGCAAAGAAAAUUCCUCAGGAGAGCAGCAGGAUAGGCAACAGCAGAUUACAUCGAUGAAACGCCAGAAGUUACAUUGGGGGCUUGACGUGAAGGAGAGAUGGGAAAGGAAAUCCAACAUGUAGAGUUGUUUCUUCUGGCAGAAUGCAGAUCGAAACGAGCAUCUGCCAAAGCAUUAAAGUCAGUCACAUGGACGAUGGGGAGUCCAAGGCCACUCAAAAAUUUGUCAAUUACUUGUAUGCGCAAAGUGCAAGAGAAAGUUUAGUCUGAGUAUUUCUCGAGCAGUUCUCCUAUCUGGGACUUGAAAAGGAUUGCUAUUUAGAGACUACACUGUGGGCCUUGCAUUUUGUGACCGUUCUACGUUUGCUAAUGCCUAUUUCUGACCAAGAUUUGCCUUGUACCGUGACUCAUAUUCUCAGAGGAAGAUGGAUGAAAUGGAAGAAGGCACGGAAAUUCUGUUUUCACCUUUCAUUUGCCGAUACUAUUUUGUUGCUCAAUUUUUGUGUAUUUAUAAUAUAAUUUUUAUGAAUAAUAAUAUAUUAUAAUUUUCUGUUCAA